GGGAAUAUUGGACAAUGGGCGAAGCCUGAUCCAGCCAUGCCGCGUGUGUGAAGAAGGUCUUCGGAUUGUAAAGCACUUUAAGUUGGGAGGAAGGGCAGUAAGUUAAUACCUUGCUGUUUUGACGUUACCAACAGAAUAAGCACCGGCUAACUUCGUGCCAGCAGCCGCGGUAAU
rnacentral:rRNA from 1 species